CACCGGCGGUCUUCCCCGACCCUCGUCCUCAAGCUUGAUUUUGCGAAAGCCUUCGACUCCAUUGACUGGAGGAGCCUCCGUCGGAUCAUGCGGGCUCGUGGCUUCCCCGAGCUUUGGUGCGACUGGAUGGACGCCAUUUUCCAGUUCUCUCGCUCGGCCGUCCUCCUCAACGGCGUGCCGGGGCGGUGGUUCGCGAUCCGAUGCGGGCUGCGCCAGGGGGACCCGAUCUCCCCCUACCUUUUUCUCCUGGUGGCCGACGUCCUCCAGCACAUGAUCCGGCAUGACGGUGUUCUGAUGCACCCGUUGGUGGACGGCGAGCCCCCGGUCGUGCUCCAGUACGCUGACGACACCCUCAUCGUCAUGCGUGCCGACCCGGCGGGGGCUGUCCGUCUCCGGGCCAUCCUGGACCUGUUCGCCGCUGCAACCGGCCUCACCAUCAACUACCAUAAGAGCACGCUCGUCCCCAUCCAUGCGGACGCCGCGACGAUCGUCGGGGCGGUGGCCGCCAUCCAGUGUACGGUGGGGGCGUUUCCUCAGGCCUACCUCGGGCUCCCGCUGUCCGUGGACAAGCUCAAGCUCUCGGACUUCGCCCCCAUGAUUGCUAAGGUGGAUCGGUACCUGGCUGGGUGGCGUUCCCGCCUGCUAUCCCCCUCGGGAAGGCUCGUGCUGAUCAACACCGUCCUUGAUGCCAUCCCGUCCUACGCCAUGUCUGCCCUGCGCCUCCCGCCCAAGGUCGUGGCUGCGCUCGACUCCCUCCACCGCUCCUUCCUCUGGAACGUGGCGGACCGCGCCUCGGGUGCCUAG
rnacentral:rRNA from 1 species